GACGACGAUGACGACGAAAAUGAAAUCGACGUCGACCUUGAUCAGUUCGACACGGCGACACAACGAAAACU
rnacentral:ribozyme from 1 species